UACGAAGGGGGCUAGCGUUGCUCGGAAUUACUGGGCGUAAAGCGCACGUAGGCGGCUUUCUAAGUCGGGGGUGAAAUCCUGGAGCUCAACUCCAGAACUGCCUUCGAUACUGGAAAGCUCGAGUCCGGGAGAGGUGAGUGGAACUGCGAGUGUAGAGGUAAAAUUCGUAGAUAUUCGCAAGAACACCAGUGGCGAAGGCGGCUCACUGGCCCGGUACUGACGCUGAGGUGCGAAAGCGUGGGGAGCAAACAGG
rnacentral:rRNA from 1 species